CGCCUGGGGAGUGCGGCCGCAAGGUUAAAACUCAAAUGAAUUGACGGGGGCCCGCACAAGCGGUGGAGCAUGUGGUUUAAUUCGACGCAACGCGAAGAACCUUACCUGGCCUUGACAUGCAGAGAACUUUCCAGAGAUGGAUUGGUGCCUUCGGGAACUCUGACACAGGUGCUGCAUGGCCGUCGUCAGCUCGUGUCGUGAGAUGUUGGGUUAAGUCCCGUAACGAGCGCAACCCCUAUCCCUAGUUGCUAGCAGUUCGGCUGAGAACUCUAGGGAGACUGCCGGUGACAAACCGGAGGAAGGUGGGGAUGACGUCAGGUCAUCAUGGCCCUUACGGCCAGGGCUACACACGUGCUACAAUGGUGCGCACAGAGGGCUACAAACCCGCGAGGGGGAGCCAAUCUCACAAAGCGCAUCGUAGUCCGGAUCGCAGUCUGCAACUCGACUGCGUGAAGUCGGAAUCGCUAGUAAUCGUGAAUCAGAAUGUCACGGUGAAUACGUUCCCGGGCCUUGUACACACCGCCCGUCACACCAUGGGAGUGGAUUGCACCAGAAGUGGUUAGUCUAACCUUCGGGGGGACGAUCACCACGGUGUGGUUCAUGACUGGGGUGAAGUCGUAACAAGGUAACCGUA
rnacentral:rRNA from 1 species